ensembl:lncRNA
AGAAUUUGUGCUGUAAAACAGCAGAACGCUGAACAAACCACUUUCUCACCCAGGGCAACACUCCCCUGGAUUCUGCUGAUACUUACACAGGGUUUAAGUAAGAACAUUUGGGAAGUUUAUGGAAGACUAAAAGUCUCAACGCAUUAGUUUCUUAAAUUCUUUGUUAUUUUGACUGCACCGAAGGCUAUUCCACAAGCCAUUAUCAGAAUCCGCCCAUCUUCAGUUCCCGUAAAUAUUAUGUCUACCCAGAACUAUGUGAACUAUUUCAUAGCUGGAAUAUGAGCCAGGCUGUGGAACUUGCUAGUGGGAAUAAGAGGAGCGUUGAAACCUGAAGGCGAGAAAAUUCAGGAGGCAAAGGGCACAGUGAGCUAAAGGAUUAUGUAUGUUUUGGGGAAAGAAGACAGCUCAGCCCUCAGAGACUGAUUAUUAUUCAGCCCAUACUUGAUUAUUUAAACCCAGCAGCGAAUGUUUGCUAACACAUUCCCGGGGGCACGAGGGUGGCUUUCAUUACAACAAAUAAAAGAAGCUGCAUUCGUUCGGGCCUCAGCAGUCAUCCUUGUAGCUGAUACUAACUAUUCCAGGCAACGGAGAGCAAGGAAAACUAAGGCAGCGACUGUCAAACGUUGGUGAUCUCCUGGAAAGGAGCAAAGUAGGCAGCUGCUGCCAUGCAUCCUGGAGCUGGGGACUAAAUUCACUCCGGUGGCAAACCUCUGAUGCAGGACGUUUGUGAAAAGGCAUUGUACCACGGAAAGCCCGAAUUCAAUGUGGUCAAAUGUUUCUGUGUAGAGAGCAAGAUGGAGUCACUCACGUCAAGCAGAGGCCCGUUUCGAGCAAUGACACAGCAGGUUUCCUCCUCGGACUCAUUCCCCAAGAUCCGAUUUGAUUCACGGAGCAUCUACUGAGCCCUUCCAAUGUGCCCAGCAGUAUGGUGGUUGCUGAGGACACGCGUAGUGCGCAGGUGCUGAUUUGGAGUUAGCGUCUCUAGCAUUUUGAGACUAAAGGCUUGAAAAGGUGGUGUUGCCUCGAAUGGAAGACGACACUUGGUGAGUUAGUGGGAGCUGGAUGGGGCUGGAAGAUCAUGAUGACUCAGGGCUUGAGAUGAUCAAGGACAUCCCAGGGGAAAAUGUUGGUGAAGCCGUUGGAGCUGGAGGGUUGGAUCUCGGGUGAGAGUGUGAGCUCAAGAUCUAAAUGUGGAAAUCGUCCACGUUAAGAUGAGUCCACUGAGAUGGGCAGAAAAUAGAACAGAAGCCCGAGGACUGGACCCUGAGGUGCGAUUCAUAGUUGAGAGGUAGGAGGAGGAAGAGAUCGCAGCCAAAAGGAGAUGAGUAGGAACAAUUAGAGAAACAGGAAGAGAACCAGGAGAGCACGUGGCCGUUGCAGUUGAGAUGGGAGAGGUUUUUGUUUUUGUUUUUUAAGAGACAAUCAACGGGGCACCUGGGUGGCGCAGUCGGUUAAGCGUCCGACUUCAGCCAGGUCACGAUCUCACGGUCCGUGAGUUCGAGCCCCGCGUCGGGCUCUGGGCUGAUGGCUCGGAGCCUGGAGCCUGUUUCCGAUUCUGUGUCUCCCUCUCUCUCUGCCCCUCCCCCGUUCGUGCUCUGUCUCUCUCGGUCCCCCCCCCCAAAAAAAAAGAGACAAUCAAAAAGUGGCAAAACUUUUUUAUUUAUUUAAGUAUAAUUGACAUACAAUAGUCUGUUAGUUUCAGGUGUGAGAAACUGUC